ensembl:misc_RNA Metazoa_SRP Metazoan signal recognition particle RNA
GCCUGGUGUGGUGACGCACACCUGUAAUCCCAGCUACUCGGGAGGCUGAGGCAGGAGAAUUGCUUGAACCCAGGAGGCAGAGGUUGCAGUGAGCCAAGAUUGUGCCAUUGCACUCCAGCCUGGGUGACAGAGCGAGACUCUGUCUCAA